GCCCUCUCAGGACACAAACAUGUUACAUAAGCCAAAGUGAGUGCAGCAGAUGCUAUUUGGGACACAUCUGUUCAGACGAUUACCUACUAGCCACAAACAUCGAAAAAAUAAUACUGACCAGGCUGUGCUGCCAUGAAGACAGACCAGGUGUGGAGAAGACUGGAUGAUGUUGAUUCUGGGUGGUCCCCCUGGAAAAGUGCUUUCCAACAUUCUGUUGGGACUUCCACAUGCAGGAUCCAUUUUUCCAUUCCAAGACAUUAAUCAAUGACAAUUACAAAUAUUUUAGAUUUUAUAUGUACUACAAGUGUUGAGAAAUCCAGCAUUGCAAUUCCUGUGUAGGAAACCUUCAAAAUAGCAGUCUAAGUCUUACUUUUGGCAAGUAAUAGGCCACCGAUUCUGAAACCCAGGCACAUUUCCACCUCAGUGUCUGGACAGGAGCCUACAAUAUUGCCCUCGUCUCAUUCUUCUCCAUUCCCAGCCAACUGACCAAGAGUGAAUUAAUGAUUUUCUUCAGAAAUGUCACUGAAAGUUCCUGUGCAGUUUUCUUGUUUUGAACUGAAUUCUCUGGUUCAUACUCCUGAUGACAAGUUCACAAACAUGCAGGAGGACUCUCAUCCUCUAUAACAGUCUACACUGGAAAAACCUGUGGGACAAUUAAGGAUAUCAUCUUUUACAGAAUCCUACUGCAGUGAAGUCGGCUCGAUGGGAUUUUCUUAUCCCAGCAUAAUUUUUUAAGCUCAAACUGUGUGAAGCUCUCAGCUUCACAUCUACUUGCAUUCAAUUCUCCAAACCUAAUUUGGCAGCCCUCUCCCAAAAAAAAUCAGUUAUCUAUAUAACCACAUGGAAAAUGUAUUAAUUUUAUACUAGGAUACUGAGCUCUUAUACUCGUACUCAUUAAAAUGCUCCAGAAACCCAAAAACUGAUACCACACAGCGUGUAAACAGUGCUUUGUUUGUAUAAAAACCUAUAUCAGAACAACAGAGAGCAGAAUGGAGUUAUUACAGAUUAAGGAUGUCUAUGAAGUAUGUGUGUGUAAUUAAUAUAAUGUUAAACAUUUUAUAUUAACCGCUGUAUAGCUGAUGUGCGCGAGCUGAUAAGAUGGAUUGAGCAUGCAAGCUUGUCGAGCAAUAAUAUUCCAUUCUCACUGGAAAGUUUGUAGUUUGGUCGGAUAUUAUUAUAAUAUAUAUAAUUAGUGGGGCAUUCACUUUAAACAACAUUUAUUUUAAAUGUCAAGACUAUACAAUUUGAAGGGCAUAAUUGA
ensembl:lncRNA